UACGGGGGGGGCAAGCGUUGUUCGGAAUUACUGGGCGUAAAGGGCUCGUAGGCGGCCAACUAAGUCAGACGUGAAAUCCCUCGGCUUAACCGGGGAACUGCGUCUGAUACUGGAUGGCUCGAGUUUGGGAGAGGGAUGCGGAAUUCCAGGUGUAGCGGUGAAAUGCGUAGAUAUUGGGAGGAACACCAGUGGCGAAGGCGGCUCGCUGGACCGGUUCUGACGCUGAGGCGCGAAAGCCAGGGGAGCAAACGGG
rnacentral:rRNA from 1 species